UGAUGAGUGCACCACCAAGCAGACUCGCAUAUCCUAUGCUUGAAUUCUAGUUGAGGUCAACAUUACUCAGCUAUUACCUGAUUCAGUCAUAGUGAGAGCCCCUGAUAGUCAUGUUUUUCAGCAGGUAGUCAUGUACGAUUGGAAGCCUGUGUUCUGCCAAAAAGGUCAGAUUAUUGGUCAUACAUGUCACAGAUAACCCCCACCAAUGCCCAGAUAAAAGAAAGAAAUACCCAAAAGAGUGAUCCAAACCUGGCAAUACAAUGUCUUAAUCGUGGAUCAAGACAAGAGGCCUAGAAUUUAGAGAAAAAUGAGCCAUAGACACUAGAGCAAGCCACUGUUAAGGGAGAAAAAUCAAUUAUAACACUGGAGCCUACAACCACCACAUCUUCACAGUCUACACAACUAGUAAAGUCCACACAACUAGUAAAGUCCAAUGAGACUAGCUUUCAACCAGUAACUAUUAAGAAAAGAGGUGUUGUUCCUAUUGAUAUUAUCUUGGAUAUGGGUAUGUCUUCUAUCUCCUUCGGGAACAGGUUUGCUAGUAUUUAGAGUGACAUAGGUGAGGCGAGUUUGGCCCUUCUUGAUAGAGGGAAAAUACAUAAUACCAUAUGAAACGGCUGUUUUGGAAUAUCAGGGGUAUGAAUAAAAGGUAUAAGCAAAAAGAAGUUAAAAAUUUGCUUAAGAAUAAAAAAGUUGAUUUAGUAGGAAUAGUAGAAACUAGAGUCAAGGCUCACAAAGCCACUCAAAUAAGUGCCCACAUUGCUUCUGUUUGGGGGAAAUUACACAAUUACAACUCUACUGAAAAUGGUAGAAUUUGGAUACUAUGGGAUACUCGACACUACUAUGUCUCUCUUUUGAAAGAAGAGAUGCAAUUAAUACAAUGUCAGGUCAGGAGCUUAGCUGAUGGGGAAGUCUGUUUAAUUACGGUAGUAUAUGGAUACAAUACUGCAUCUUUGAGACUGAUGCUAUGGGACCAAUUAUGAGAGAUAUCACAAGGUAACCAACAACCAAGGAUUAUCAGUGGUAACUUCGAAGCUCUAUUGUACCCUCGGGAUAGAUUUGCAGGGAAUCCAGUACAAUAUAGUGACUCGAAGGAUUUUACUAACACAUUCAUAGUUGUGCACUUUAUGAGAUAUCAUGGAAAGGAGACUAUUAUACUUGGUCAACAGAAAACUUGGAAAAGAUAGAAUCUGAGCAGAAUAGAUAGAACUUUGGGCAACAGUGUUUGGAUGCAACAAUGUGGGUCAUGUGAAGGUUGAAUAUGAGGUCCCUUAUGUCUCAGACCACUCUCCAGUGUUUAUUAAUCUUACAGGUAAUAACUGAACAUCAAAGUGUCACUUAAGUUUUUUAAUGUGUGGACAGAGCACAAAGAUUUCCUGCAAAAUAUUAUUGAACAUAACUGGCAAGGUAUAAAGAACCUCGACCCUGGAAAGAACUUAUGGAUGAAACUCAAAGCUCUAUAGACUAAUUUGAAAGCCGUCAAUAACCUAGAAUUUAAAGUCAUAGCUCAGAGGAUAGAAAAAUCUAGGACUGAUCUUCAUAUUAUACAGGAGAAUAUGUUGCAAUGUCAAUCAGAUACCCUGCAAGCUUACGAGAAAAUAACUCUUCAAACUCUUGAAAAAUGGUUUGAGGUAGAGGAAAGUAUUAUGAAGUAGAAUCCAAAGCACAAUGGAUUAAACCUGGAGACUUCAAUACAAAAUAUUUCUCAGCAGUUGUCAAAGACAGAACCCAGAGGAAGAAUAUUACUGAACUCACCAGCUUGGUUGGUGACUUACUAACUGGCCCUAAAGCUAUUAAAGAGGAAAUUAUCUCUUUAUAUAAGGGUCUAAUGGGUUCUACAGCUCUUUCCGUACCUCAGUUGAUAUCUCAAAUAUGCAGAAAGGUCCUAGACUGUAGCAGAAUCAAAAAAUACUACUGUGACUGAAGAAAAAAUUCUUAAAAGCCUAAAAACUAUGAAAGAUGAUAAAACCUGGAUUGGAUGGAUAAAAUGUUGUGUUCUUUAAUAAAACUUGGCAUUUUUUUAAGCACGAGGUCAUUUUCACUGUGAAGCAUUUCUUUGAUACUGAAAAACUUUUCAAGCCUCUUAAUUGUGCAAUAGUAACCCUGGUUUCAAAAAUCCAAGCUCCUACCACAGUUAAAGACUAUAGACCUAUUACAUUUUGCUCUAUUGUGUGUAAGUUGAUUUUUAAGAUAUAAUAAGUAGACUCCAGAAUGUCAUGCAACCCGUAUUAAUGAGGCUCAAUCUAGUUUUAUCCCUGGUAGAAGAAUAGGGGAUAGUAUUAUCAUGGCACAUGAACUUAUCAAAGGCUACAUCAGAAAGAACAUCUCCCCCAGAUGCGUGAUCUCCAAAAGGCAUAUGAUUCUGUUGAAUGGAUAUAUUUGCAUCAUAUUUUAGUGGUUCUGGGAUUUCCUGAUAAAUUUAUCACUUGGCUCAUGUGUACAAACUGUUUCUUAUAGUAUUAUGAUCAAUGGUGAACCUAGUGAACCUUUUCCAGCAGCUAAGGGAUUAAGACAAGGUGACCCCAUAUCACACUUCCUUAUUUGCUUUAGCAAUGGAAUACCUGAGCAAGACAUUAUCAUAGUUGAAGAUGGAUAAAGGCUUUCACUAUCAUCCUAGAUGUGCCAAGCUAGGUGUCGCGCCCUAUUUCGAACCGGUGGAGAUAGUCCACAACAUAGUUGUGGUCACUGUGACUCUUUGGUUUUGAAAAUCAUUUUUAUGUAAAAAAAAUCUAUUUUUGAUCUUUCAAAAAUAUUUGAGAUUCUAAGUAAAGGUUUCGGUUACUCGAGGGUAAGGUGUUAAGCACCCCUAAGGGCCUAUCCGAAGAUAGUCCUUAACUCAGUUUAGGAAGACAUUUGGAAAAAUAUUUACUUUUAUUAUUUACAAUAAUAGUGGUAACUACACAUAAUGUUUAUCAAAUUCUAAAGAAACACACAAGGUACAUAAACAUAUCCUUCCGAUAUACGAAAAAGUGACGUAAUUUAUUGUCAAAAUAUGCAUGCAAUGUUUCAAAAAAAUAUGAAAAUGCACAUCUAUAAACCCAUGUAUUCAAUACCAUACGAUUUUUCAGAAACAUAAAUUCUAAACAGAACCAAAGAUUCGUAGAAAUCAAAAGAAAAACGAAAGAAAAGGAGAUGAGAGUUGAAUUAGAAAGGGAAUCCGCACCUUUUCUGGGGCAGCAAUUGAGGCUUUCCGUCAAGAUUCCGGCCACCAAACUCUACACCGGAAACUCGAUUUUAACAUGAAAUUAAGAAGAAAGACCAAGAAUUAUUGUGAUCUCCUACAUAUUUCCAAAAUACCCAAGGCUGAGUUUUGAACGUUCUCCUCCUUUCUCGACCGAUCUGAAACUUUUAUAUCUUUUAAAACUCGUUUCUCCCCUUUGCCUCGAAUCUGACAAAACCUCCAUUUUUGGACCUCUACAAACACUCCCUCUUUUAGUGAUGGAAUUGAAGGUAUUUAUAGUUAAAUUAGAACUUCAAAAUUUGGAUUUGACACUUAAAUCUAUAGAAGCCAACGGAUAGAAAAAAGAUGGGGGGAUUCAAAUUCAAAAACAGGAAAGAGACAUCACAUAACCUAAAAUUUUGGACGAUCCUUGGACCUUUAGUGUGGAUUUGAAAUUGAUUUUCAAUUCUUGUACCGAUUUGGAACUGUUUUUCUAAUGUCCGUUGGUUUCACGGGUCGGAGGAGAUAAAAUUGAGGGAAAUCUUGACAAGUGAGGGCAGACGAUGGUCAGUUAUGGUGGUGGAUAGGGUUUCAUUUUCGGGGUUGUUGAGGAGAAGAAGAAGAACAAACAAGGGAGGGGUCAGUAGUCUUGCUGUGCAUUUUUGAAGAAUGGAUGGAGACUAGUCGAUGCUUCUCUGAUAAACAAGCAAAGACGCGUCUGUGCUGUACUUAUUGAAGACCAA
rnacentral:lncRNA from 1 species